rnacentral:rRNA from 1 species
UGGGGAAUUUUGCACAAUGGGGGAAACCCUGAUGCAGCGACGCCGCGUGAUUUAGAAGGCCUUCGGGUUGUAAAAAUCUUUUCUAUGGGAAGAAAAUGACAGUACCAUAGGAAUAAGGACCGGCUAAUUACGUGCCAGCAGCCGCGGUAAUACGUAAGGUCCGAGCGUUGUCCGGAAUCAUUGGGCGUAAAGGGCACGUAGGCGGGUAAGCAAGUUAGAAGUGAAAUCCUAUAGCUCAACUAUAGUAAGCUUUUAAAACUGCUCAUCUUGGUGUAUGGAAGGGGAAGUGGAGUUCCUAGUUUAGCGGUGAAAUGCGCAGAUAUUAGGAGGAAUACCGGUGGCGAAGGCGACUUUCUGGCCAUAACCUGACGCUGAGGUACGAAAGCGUGGGUAGCAAACAGG